CGUGGGCAUCCUCCAGAUCCACAUCACAGCGGAGCUCACAGCUGCUGUCGGUGGACAAUGAUUGUGGGAACGGGGUAAAACAGGGGCUGGGAAUCACAGCGCUUUGAGAGCCUGAACCAGAAACCAAAGCUCUGCCUCAGAGCUGUGCUCCACGUGGGCACGAUCCCUGCACGACACAGCCUGCAAGGCAAGCACGUGUCUAUUAAUUAGGACAAGGGAUUAUCACAUGUAUAUGAUCAUACACCCGCUGCUGCGGUUGGGGCCGUAUCAGCAGCGCAGCACACAGCACGACUUUCCCCCAACUUUAAGCCAGCUGCAACUGGACAGCGACGGCGUGUUUAGUAAUCGCUUCGCAGCCGAGGCUCUCAGAGGCCGCUGAUGUUUCCUUGGGCAGGGCCGGGCACCGCGGUACCUCAGCGUGAGAGGAAAAGCAACAGGGCUGGGAAGCGGCGCCGUUACUACGAAAGGAAGUUAUUUCAGGGCGAUUUCUGAAGACCCCUCCGCAAGACGUGGCUGCGAGCGGCCGCGGACACGCGGGGCCCGGCCCGUUCCCGCGGCUGCAGGCCGAGCUGCUCAAGGAGCUGUCAAUGUUUCCAGGGCAGGGUGAAGAGAAGGGAUUUGGAAGUAUCUGGAAGCUGCGUGUUUUCUGCCUAGAUGAUGUGAAAGGCUGAAGAGCCAAUGCUGUGAUUGCACUGGAAGGAAUUAGUCAUCACAGUGAAUCUGAGAGGCUUCAUGGAUUUUGGAAAGCAAUGUGUAUCUGCCUACUUGUUUCAAGACUGGAUUGCUCUACCAAGAUUUAUCUCCCUGCUCAGCUAACGUACUUAACCAAAGUGGAAACAAGCAAAACCUCUGACCUCUGGAGCUGUAGGUAACUUCCUUUUUCAUGUAGUUCUUAGGCACUGGAAGCUUCAUAGCAAAAAUGCUUUCAUGCUCGUUGCGAGAGUUUUUGGAGAAUUACAGAGAUUUUGCUCUUUAUUCAAUAGUGCAGGGGAUGGUCACUGACACAAGUACUACAGCACACUCACUAAAUGUCAGCCAUCCUCAGAAACACUGCAUGCAGUCAACAUCAUACUCUAAGCUGACAUGCAUGGCAUUCACCAGCCUUCAUUUGCAAGCACACCCAAUGCAUUAAGAAUUAUCCUGGUGGUUCUGGUUCAGCACAGAAGCACACAGCCAGAAAUGGGACAGUGUCUGUCACAACACAGUGAAGAAGCUGCUGUAGGCACUGCACACACCUACAGACAUGUGGAAAUCCUGCCCAAAGGGAUUGACUGAGUGCUGGUGUGCUGCCAAGCUCCAGCUAGCCCAGGGGCCUGCAGAAACUUAAACAAGGAUUAUCUUAGGGCAGAAACCAAGCAAGAGCAGAUUCCUCUGGCAAGGCAGCAUAGCAUUUGCUGAGGAGUUGGCAUGGGCUUAUUGCUGCCUGACCUGAAGCAUGACCCUGUCCCAGUGGCCCAUGCCCUUAGGGGCACCCGAGGCUUUGAGCAGCCCAAGUCCUUACCUCCAUGACAGAGCCCAUGGGGCACCCAGCACACUCCCAGCAGCACAGGUCUGAGCUUUCUCCUCAGCCCGCUCUCCAGAAAUCUUGCUCUCAGGGCAUGGGAUACCUAUGGGGUGUGGCAAGGAUGGGGAGGAAAGCACACCUUAAAUCUAGAGCCCUGCCCAAAAGUCACUGUUUUUCUUAGAACCUGUCCUGACACAAAGGUUCAAGUUUCAGCAAUGUAACUACCAGGAAGAUAUUUUUCUUUAGGUUUGAAGCGGCUCUUUUCAAGCUCAUAUUGACUCACAAAGCAAUAUGACCAGAAAAACUGCUGACUUUCCAAGCAGCAACAGGUAGAAAAACAGGGAUUUGUUUUAACAAACAGCAGCACUGUGCUGGCUGCUCAUCAGCCUUUGGGCUAUGACAAUUUGCUUCAAGCACGCAGCAUCCCUGUUGCCACCUGAGGAGUUCUACACUAGUAUGAGUCACCCAAACCUCUGCACAUAAGGAUACCACACAGCCCAGGCUGACUUUCCCUCAGCCCAUCUCCUUUUGCUGUACACAUCAUGCUGAUGCAGCCACCUGAGUUCCCCAGUCCCUGCAAAAGCAAAGCAAGAUGAAGGCCUGUUAUAAAAACCAGAUUAUUCCCUUCACUAUGCAGACAGCAUUGCUGAGAGGUACUUUUUCUCCAUGCUGGUAACAGGGGAUGUUACCUUCAGUGCUUUUAUCAAGAGUCUUUUCCAGAAGCCGGGAGAACCAGAAGCUUCUGUGUCUACGAUGCACUGGGAGCUUGUUUGUAUUGUAGCCUUGGUGUUAGUCAGAGGAGGAGGCUGGGUGACACCAAAGAGGCAGUUGGUGCUGGCAGGAGGUCUUGCUGUCAGGAAUGGGGAAGGGGAGGAGACGUGGGAUUCCUCAUGUUGUUCAGUUACUUUCUAAGGAAUGAACAGGUUCAUCUCUCUUGGUACAGUGCAGGAUCUACUUGCAGCCCCCACAAAACAUUUCUAAGUGGCUGCAGAGGACUAGCUGUGUUGUUAGACACUCCCUGAGUAAGAGGGGAGAAGAAAUAAGGAAGACCAGCAGGAGUCAAGGCAUCAAUCCAAUCAGAUAACCUGCUGACAGAAGGCUGUAUCGCUGAGGCUUGCAAAUCAGCUGGCCCUGUCUCAAUACUGACUAGGCAUCAGGUGGCAGAGCUCACAUGCAAAGACUACUGCCUCCCAUGCAGGUUGUGGUAGUCACUCAAGUACAUCAGCAAUCACAGCUGAGCAGACUGUAAGAGAAGUAGAGAUGUGAAAUGCAUGCCAGGCCAGGAGUGACUGCCCACCAUGACUCCCCACACCUUCGCAAGUCCUCUUGAGUCAGGGCGUCAGACAAUUCUGUGGAAUUCAGCCUUAAGAGCUCAGUUUAUACUUAAAAUGGGAAAUAAGUGAAUUUUUGGAUCCCAAGAUGAACAAGCAGCUGCAAGCAGCUACCAACCUGAACCUGCUAGGGAAAGAACUAAACCUGAAGUAUUUUCAAGCUUAUCUGAAAGGAAGCUUGAUAUUUGAACUGAAACUUCAGUCUUCACAGUCAAAACAUACAGAAGGUCAUGAUGUAGUUUAUUUCUGGGCAAAACACUGGCACUAAUAAAUCUCUGGAAAAUACGGUGAAACCAAAAACUCAUAGGCUUCAAGACCUGAAUGAAUCAUUUCUGUUAUUCAGUCCAACUGCUUACAGAGUCCUGUGUAGAAGGAGUUUAUUCUUUUUAAGCUAAUCUAAUUUAAGGAACUGACUUUCAAUUUUCACGUUGUCAGGUCAGGAUUUAGGGUGUUUAGUUAGCAGCAAUUUGGAGAGCUUAAGAGCUGUUUGCAAUGUAGCUACUGCAAUGUGUGCUUUAUAGGAAAGCACUUCUUCCGUGUGUCUGCCGAGUAUUUCAGUAUUACAUUAAAGGUCUCCUUCCCUGCUUUGAACUCUGGAGAAUUCAGGGAUUGCCAGCACCAGGCUUAACCAUGGCUUAAGUCAAAAAACAACCACAGUUUAAGUUAAAAAAAAAAUAAUAAAAAAUGAACGACUUCUUUUCUGUUUUGUUUUGGAGAGGUAUCUAGGCUUGAAACUGUGAAGCAGUUGCAUGGCUACAUGCCACGAGGAAGUUCUCAGCAUAGUUGUUCACACAGCACUGACCUAUUUUUAGUAUAUGGUCAGGGAGUAUGAUUCUUCCUCCUCCUGCCCUCAGACUCUGUAAUGCCCUCCACUGCUAGGCAGGAUUCCAUAGGACUUUUCUGAACAGGAGUAAGGAUUUUCUUUGGCUGCUAAUGUGAAAACACACACAUAUAUUCAGAAUACAAAAAACAGGGCAGUACCAACCCAGUUUGGCCCCUUCUCAGUUUGAAUAUUGUUUGACAAUGAACAGAAAUAAGCAGAGAACUCAUUUUAAAUGAAAAGAGCAUCUCUGGCAAAAGUUCAGAUAAAGGUUUAAGAUUGCUGCCACCAUAAUCGUGUAAUAAUUGGAUAAAAGCAAUCAGUAACUCCAAUUGCAGUCUCACUGCAGUGCACUCGUGCACACAAUGAAGGGUUAUUGAUGAGUUGUAUGCAGUAAUCCCACACGUUUAUAUAAAGCACUGUUUUCAUG